CCUACGGGCGGCAGCAGUGGGGAAUAUUGGGCAAUGGGCGCAAGCCUGACCCAGCAACGCCGCGUGAAGGAAGAAGGCUUUCGGGUUGUAAACUUCUUUUCUGAGGGACGUAGAACGUGACGGUACCUCAGGAAUACGCCACGGCUAACUACGUGCCAGCAGCCGCGGUAAUACGUAGGUGGCAUGCGUUAUCCGGAUGUAUUGGGUGUAAAGGGCGUGUAGGCGGGAAGGCAAGUCAGAUGUGAAAACUCAGGGCUCAACCCUGAGCCUGCAUUUGAUACUGUUUUUCUUGAGUGCUGGAGAGGCAAGCGGAAGUCGGGGUGUAGCGGUGAAAUGCGUAGAUAUACCGAGGAACACCAGUGGCGAAGGCGGAUUGCUGGACAGUAACUGACGCUGAGGCGCGAAAGCGUGGGGAGCAAACAGGAUUAGAUACCCCAGUAGUC
rnacentral:rRNA from 1 species